rnacentral:tRNA from 1 species
GUAAACAUAGUUUAUAACAAAACCUUAGACUGUGAAUCUAAUAAUAAGAGACUAUACCUCUUUGUUUACC